GACGAACGCUGGCGGCGUGCCUAAUACAUGCAAGUCGAACGAGAGCAACCGGUGCUUGCACUGGUCAAUCUAGUGGCGAGCGGGUGAGUAACACGUGGGUAACCUGCCCAUCAGAGGGGGAUAACAUCCGGAAACGGAUGCUAAAACCGCAUAGGUCUUCGAACCGCAUGGUUUGAAGAGGAAAAGAGGCGCAAGCUUCUGCUGAUGGAUGGACCCGCGGUGCAUUAGCUAGUUGGUGAGGUAACGGCUCACCAAGGCCGUGAUGCAUAGCCGACCUGAGAGGGUGAUCGGCCACAUUGGGACUGAGACACGGCCCAAACUCCUACGGGAGGCAGCAGUAGGGAAUCUUCCGCAAUGGACGCAAGUCUGACGGAGCAACGCCGCGUGAGUGAAGAAGGUUUUCGGAUCGUAAAACUCUGUUGUUAGAGAAGAACAAGUGCUAGAGUAACUGUUAGCGCCUUGACGGUAUCUAACCAGAAAGCCACGGCUAACUACGUG
rnacentral:rRNA from 1 species